rnacentral:rRNA from 1 species
ACGGGAGGCAGCAGUGGGGAAUAUUGGACAAUGGGGGAAACCCUGAUCCAGCGACGCCGCGUGAGUGAAGAAGUAUUUCGGUAUGUAAAGCUCUAUCAGCAAGGAAGAAAAUGACGGUACUUGACUAAGAAGCUCCGGCUAAAUACGUGCCAGCAGCCGCGGUAAUACGUAUGGAGCAAGCGUUAUCCGGAUUUACUGGGUGUAAAGGGAGCGUAGACGGCAAAGCAAGUCCGAAGUGAAAUCCCGGGGCGCAACCCCUGAACUGCUUUGGAAACUGUUUAGCUAGAGUGCAGGAGAGGUAAGCGGAAUUCCUAGUGUAGCGGUGAAAUGCGUAGAUAUUAGGAGGAACACCAGUGGCGAAGGCGGCUUACUGGACUGUAACUGACGUUGGGGCUCGAAAGCGUGGGGAGCAAACAGGAUUAGAUACCCUGGUA